rnacentral:rRNA from 1 species
AUUGAACGCUGGCGGCAUGCCUUACACAUGCAAGUCGAGCGGCAGCGCGGGGCGAACCCUACGGCGGCGAGCGGCGGAACGGGUAGGAGUAAUGCAUCGGAACGUGUCCUCUUGUGGGGGAGUAACCAGUCGAAGACUGGCUAAUACCGCAUGAGAUCGAGAGAUGAAAGCGGGGGACCGCAAGCUCGCGCGAGAGGAGCGGCCGAUGUCGGAUUAGCAGGUUU